AUAUCGCUUUGAUUUUACAGAAUAUUGUAAUGGAAACGCAGCUAGUGGCGGUCAGUUCGUUGACGUCAGCUGUUGCAGCUUCAAGACUCUCCAAUCAGAGCAGGCCUACAGCUUUGACUCCUCAGUCCACUUCCUCAGUCCUUACUACAGGCUUCUGUCUGUAGGUGAGGAUGAGACGAAGCAGACCGUGGUCAGGAAGUCCUAAAGCAGCGUGGGGGACAGAGUGAUAGGCGUCUUUUAAAACAGUGUAGCAGUGGUCCAGAGGGGUUUUGUCUCUGGUGGGACACUUUUGUCUGUACUUUGGAAGCUCGUGGGUGAGGUUUAUAUAUAUGAUAUGCCCAACCCUAAUAUUUAUAUAAGUUUGACACGUGCUUUAGAGGCAGGGAGACUUUUACAACCAAGUAACAGAUCAUUUUGUGGAGGAGGAUAGG